CCUACGGGCGGCAGCAGUGAGGAAUAUUGGUCAAUGGGCGCGAGCCUGAACCAGCCAAGUAGCGUGAAGGAUGACUGCCCUACGGGUUGUAAACUUCUUUUAUAAAGGAAUAAAGUGAGGCACGUGUGCCUUUUUGUAUGUACUUUAUGAAUAAGGAUCGGCUAACUCCGUCCCAGCAGCCGCGGUAAUACGGAGGAUCCGAGCGUUAUCCGGAUUUAUUGGGUUGAAAGGGAGCGUAGAUGGGUGGUUAAGUCAGUUAUGAAAGUUUGCGGCUCACCCGUAAAAUUGCAAGCGAUACUGGCAGGCGUGAGGACAGGUGAGGUAGGCGGAAGUCGGGGGGGAGCGGGGAAAGGCUGAGAGAGCACGAAGAAAGCCGAUUGGGAAGGCAGAUUAGGAAACGGCCACUGAAAUGGAUGCUCGAAAGUGUGGGUAUAAAACAGGAGUAGAUACCCUAGGAGGC
rnacentral:rRNA from 1 species